rfam:Synergistales bacterium 58_81 MPJ_scaffold_1049, whole genome shotgun sequence.
GGAAGGAGCCCAAGCGGUCGCUGCCCCUUUGAGGGGGAGAGGAAAGUCCGGGCUCCACAGGGCAGGGCGCUGGAGAAAUUCCAGUGGGCGUGAGCCCAAGGAAAGUGCCACAGAAACAAACCGCCCGGCACUCAUUCAAUGCUUUGGCGCUCCAUUGAAAACCUCAGCUUCUUGUGAAGCGAUCGAUAUAUGCUUUACGCCAAAACAUCGAAUGAGUGCCGGGUAAGGGUGAAAAGGUGGGGUAAGAGCCCACCAGCUGUUGGGUGACCGGCAGGCUAGGCAAACCCCGCCCGGAGCAAGACCGAAUAGGAGGGGAUGAGGCUGCCCGCUGACCCUCGGGUACGGUCGCUUGAGAGCCGGCGAAAGCCGGCUCCUAGAUAAAUGACCGCUUCGCACAGAACCCGGCUUAGGGGUUGCUUCCCGCG